UACGUAGGGUGCAAGCGUUAAUCGGAAUUACUGGGCGUAAAGCGUGCGCAGGCGGUUCGGAAAGAAAGAUGUGAAAUCCCAGAGCUUAACUUUGGAACUGCAUUUUUAACUACCGGGCUAGAGUGUGUCAGAGGGAGGUGGAAUUCCACGUGUAGCAGUGAAAUGCGUAGAGAUGUGGAGGAAUACCGAUGGCGAAGGCAGCCCCCUGGGAUGAUACUGACGCUCAUGCACGAAAGCGUGGGGAGCAAACAGG
rnacentral:rRNA from 1 species